rnacentral:tRNA from 1 species
GCGGGUGUAGCUCAGUGGCUAGAGCGUCUCGUUGCCAACGAGAAGGUCGAGAGUUCGAAUCUCUUCACCCGCU